GACUGAGGAAUCUUUGGGACACGUUUUCGCGCAAAUAGGUAUUUCUGGCUUAAUGAAUGCAAGCAGGUGGCCUGCUUGUAAAUUGCUUUACAAGUUUCAGAGGUUUCCCUAUCCAGUAUCUCGUCAGACAGUGAGGGAGGAAAUUUCAACCUGAAAGACUUCACAGAGACAUGGCAAAGGAGUUGAGCCUCAUAAGAGUCCGCGGGAGCAGCAAAAGGGCUUGGAGGUCAGAACCCAUGGCUAAACUUUUUGGGUUGGGGAUAGGGAAUUAAAGCCAGAGAGGACCUUGUAGAA